rnacentral:rRNA from 1 species
ACAUCCAGAGAACUUAGCAGAGAUGCUUUGGUGCCUUCGGGAACUCUGAGACAGGUGCUGCAUGGCUGUCGUCAGCUCGUGUUGUGAAAUGUUGGGUUAAGUCCCGCAACGAGCGCAACCCUUAUCCUUUGUUGCCAGCGGUUCGGCCGGGAACUCAAAGGAGGCUGCCGGUGAUAAACCGGAGGAAGGUGGGGAUGACGUCAAGUCAUCAUGGCCCUUACGGCCAGGGCUACACACGUGCUACAAUGGCGCAUACAAAGAGAAGCGACCUCGCGAGAGCAAGCGGACCUCAUAAAGUGCGUCGUAGUCCGGAUUGGAGUCUGCAACUCGACUCCAUGAAGUCGGAAUCGCUAGUAAUCGUAGAUCAGAAUGCUACGGUGAAUACGUUCCCGGGCCUUGUACACACCGCCCGUCACACCAUGGGAGUGGGUUGCAAAAGAAGUAGGUAGCUUAACCUUCGGGAGGGCGCUUACCACUUUGUGAUUCAUGACUGGGGUGAAGUCGUAACAAGGUAAGCGUAGUGCU